rnacentral:ncRNA from 2 species
UUCGGACCAGGCUUCAUUCC